UCUUGCGAUACGUUUUUGGUACGAUGAUAUUUUUGGUACGUCUUUGCGUAUGGUAAUUGGGAAAUUAUUUUAUGGAUGGCAUGUACUAAAAGCCUCUAUUUAAUGUAAAGUUUUUAUUUUUUAAGAUCUACAGGAGCAAUUGAUAAAGUGAUGUUAAAGACAUGCAAUUUUGAUACGUGCAUAUUUACUUGAACCGUUACACCACUUAAUGGCGGAGUGAGACGUGAAUUUCCAUUCAGCCUAUGUCGGGUUACGUGUGUGCUAAACUUACCGCACACCUGCAGUUCCCUGGUUCCCUGUCUCUUUUUCUGCACCUGUUCUCCUUAUCAACAUGCCUGAAGGAGCUGGAUUCUCACCCCGCCCCCAUACAGCCCGAAGGAGUCACCUUGACACAACCAGAGAAAACUGCACAUCUUACAAUGAAGAAGAGGGAUUUCAUCCUGUAGGAAAUGUGUCCAACCUCAACGUGUUUCCAAGAGCUCAGAAGUGCUGUGAGUCAUUCCCCUGUGUGAGUGCUGCGAUGACAUCAUCAUGCUUCCUAUAAAGGGCCUUGAAGCCAGACCACCCACCCGCCCACACAAACACCCCUGCUGCAGCCAUCACAUCCAUAUAGAAUAACAGGGAACAUCUUUUUCUGUCCAACCAUCAGGGAUGUUCAGCAUUUUCCUUCAAGAGGAAAACCACAAUGUCUAGCGGUAGCACUGUUUUGCCUUAGAGAAGAUGAUUUGGGGGGUGGGGGGAGAGUUUGAAAAUUCUUUUUUGGGAUCAGUAUUAUUGUUCAGUUGUGCCAUGACAGAAAAAGGCUGUUAUGAGACAGCAUAAAGCCAUAGCAAACAAGGUAAAAGCACCCUGAUUAAUUAUCAGUAUUAUCUUUGAGUAUUAAUCUAAAAAAAAGAGAAAAAGCGUAGCUCUUGUUUCCUCUUUCUGAUUUUAUGUGAUUGAUAUUCAGUGGGUUAGCUGAUAGUGUCCUGGCCUGCAAC